rnacentral:ncRNA from 1 species
UUAUCCCUAAUGCCUAUUGCUGUGAUGCAGAAUUCACCAAGCAUUGGAUUGUUUGCCCACUAAUAGGGAACGUGAGCUGGGGUUGGACCACUGUGAGGCAGCUU